rnacentral:rRNA from 1 species
CAGUCGCCGCGGUAAGACAGAGGAUGCAAGCGUUAUCCGGAAUGAUUGGGCGUAAAGGGUGCGUAGGCGGUUUGGCAAGUUUGGUGUGAAAUCUUCGGGCUCAACUCGAAGUCUGCAUCGAAAACUGCCGGGCUUGAGUAUGGGAGAGGUGAGUGGAAUUUCCGGUGUAGCGGUGAAAUGCGUAGAUAUCGGAAGGAACACCUGUGGCGAAAGCGGCUCACUGGACCAUAACUGACGCUGAUGCACGAAAGCUAGGGGAGCAAACAGGAUUAGAUACCCCCGUAGUCCCUGUCUCUUAUAA